UACGUAGGGUGCGAGCGUUAAUCGGAAUUACUGGGCGUAAAGCGUGCGCAGGCGGUUUUGUAAGCCAGAUGUGAAAGCCCCGGGCUUAACCUGGGAAUGGCAUUUGGGACUGCAAGGCUGGAGUUUGGCAGAGGAGACUGGAAUUCCUGGUGUAGCAGUGAAAUGCGUAGAUAUCAGGAGGAACACCGAUGGCGAAGGCAGGUCUCUGGGCCACUACUGACGCUGAGAAGCGAAAGCAUGGGGAGCGAACAGG
rnacentral:rRNA from 1 species